ACCAGUACAAACGUUUGGGCCAGGACAUCCAUACCCCUCACAGAUAUUUAGCUCAUUACCCUGAGCUCCUAUGUGCAGUUCCCGAAAAUAUUAUCUGAAGUCUGAGCCACUGAGAAAUGAGGCAUAUUAUAAAGGGGAACAUUUGGACGCACCCGACAUACAGAGAGGAACGACAACACGAAAGGAGGACAGCCUUCUUACUGGAGUCACACAUCUAGAAGCCAAGGAGUGACAAGGAUCGCCAUCUAACAACGGAAAGCAGAAGAAACCAGAAGAAUCCUGUCCCAGAGCCGUCAGCAAGAGCACAGCCCCGCCAGCACCUUGGUUUCAGACAUCUGGUCUCCAGAACUGUGAGACAAUAAACUUUGGUCGGUUUCGCCACC